CAGAGUUAUCCAACUCCCAAACCCAUGUGAACUUAUCUCUUUGUUGCCUCGGCGCAAGCUACCCGGGACCUCGCGCCCCGGGCGGCCCGCCGGCGGACAAACCAAACUCUUGUUAUCUUAGUUGAUUAUCUGAGUGUCUUAUUUAAUAAGUCA
rnacentral:misc_RNA from 1 species